AGAUGUGAGAACAAUUUGGCUGAGACAUCUGUUGCCUCUUUGUUCACCAGUGUUGAUUCUACUGAUCCGAUUGGUGGGACAAAUGCCCUUCUUCCUUCCUCGCUGCUCCAUGUGCAUCCCUACCCCCUGAAUCUGUACACACGAAAACACUGGCAAACAAACAGCAAGGGGAGCCAUGGCCUUGGGUGAGCUUGUUUAAGAAAAGAGUAGUGAGUAAGAGGAGAGGGAUGCCUAAGACAAAGUUUUAGGGAACUUCAACAUCAAAUGUUCAAGUGGAAGAGAGU
rnacentral:sRNA from 1 species